UACGGGGGGGGGCAAGCGUUGUUCGGAAUUACUGGGCGUAAAGGGCUCGUAGGCGGCCAACUAAGUCGGAUGUGAAAUCCCCAGGCUUAACCUGGGAACUGCAUCCGAUACUGGAUGGCUUGAAUCCGGGAGAGGGAUGCAGAAUUCCAGGUGUAGCGGUGAAAUGCGUAGAUAUCAUUUGGAACGCCAAUGGUGAAAACAGGUAGCUGGGAGUGUGCUGACGCUGAGACACGAAAGCCAGGGGAGCAAACGGG
rnacentral:rRNA from 1 species